AGCCUCUCUAGGUUUCUUCACCAAGCAGUGAGAAGCUUAUUGUUCAGUGAGCUCAGAAUUUGAAACAAAGCCAACCAGUCAUAGGAAAACCAAGCUAGCAAAACACUCAUCCAGGGAAAAAAAAAAAAGAAGAAGAAGAAAAAAGAAAGGAAAGAAAGGAAAAGGAUAAGGAAAAAAAGAAAAGGGAAAUGAAAAGGAAGAGGAAGAUGAUGUUUCUUGUUAAGACUUGUGAGACGUGUGGACACAAGUGCUGGGGGGGAAGGAGAAAAGAGAAAUACUUCCAGGUGCUGAGGGGUUGUCAUGGAAGUCUUGUCUGGAUAUAUCCAACUUCCCAGUUUGGCUCUCGAGGCUCAUCUAGACUGACAGCAUAGAGGAAGCCUAGGAUGCUCUUGUGCUCAGUGUGUCCUGCUGGGUGGGUAGACAAAAGAAAGACUGCAUUGCUGGCAGUUGUGGGGAUUCAGCUGGCAGCAGCUACUGUGGCAAGUUUGGGUCCAAACGGUGAGGAUACUGUCAGCUGUCUUGCUUGGGUGUAAACAGAAUUAAAUUGAGUUUCCAAGUCAAAUGCCUUCUCAUAAUCCAUUACUUAGGACUGGUGAAGGGCAAAGUCUGGAGGAGAACAGAAAGAUCUAGUUAAGGUCCUUUGGAAAUGACUCACUCUUUUUUUCAGUUUAAGGUUUGAUGCUUCUGUGGCUGGCUUAUGAGCUGAACCUUCUCUCCAAACACAAGGACAGAGGGGUCUGUUGUCACAUAUUCCAUAAAGAACCAUCACCUGAAAACUGUGCAUCACCUCGUGAGAAUCUCAGUCAAGGAUCCUUCAGUGUGUGUCACAUGGACAAAAAGAAAGGGGGAAACUCCUCCUCCUGCAUGAACACAGCAGCAGAAUUGUCUUAAAGGUGCCGAGUUCCCACAAUCCAUGUGCAGCACACACAGUCCUCUUCCCACCCAGACCAUCCCAGCAGCGAAGUCCUGCUGGGCCAGCUCAGCCCCAUGGGUGCACCUGGCUGUGGACUUGCACUAACACCGUGAGUACCAUCAAGCUAAAUUAUAAGCUAAAACUAGAGGCCAUCCAGGUGAUGGUUUCUAAUCAUCUCCCAAGAGAAGUGGGAGAAACCCCUUGCCCAAAACUUCUAAAGCUCUGCUGGAAGCCAUUGCACAUAGGAGCCAUGGGGUCCCUUUUGCAUUUCUGCUGUAGGUGGUCUCCUGAAUCAACUACAUAAAGACUCCAGACACAGCUAUAAGAAUGUAGAAAUGUGUCACUUCUGUUGUAUGUAGAAAUGCACGUAUAAUUCUAGCUCUAAGUACUUCUAUCUGCUUCUAGUGUCUAGAACAUGAAAUUGCAUGGAGGGUUUGCUCCUGUGACUGAGGCUGCGGUACAGAAUAGUGCUUUAACCUAGAGAUGUG
rnacentral:lncRNA from 1 species